rnacentral:rRNA from 1 species
GAUGAACGCUGGCGGCGUGCCUAAUACAUGCAAGUCGAGCGAACAGACGAGGAGCUUGCUCCUCUGACGUUAGCGGCGGACGGGUGAGUAACACGUGGAUAACCUACCUAUAAGACUGGGAUAACUUCGGGAAACCGGAGCUAAUACCGGAUAAUAUAUUGAACCGCAUGGUUCAAUAGUGAAAGACGGUUUUGCUGUCACUUAUAGAUGGAUCUGCGCCGCAUUAGCUAGUUGGUAAGGUAACGGCUUACCAAGGCGACGAUGCGUAGCCGACCUGAGAGGGUGAUCGGCCACACGGGAACUGAGACACGGUCCAGACUCCUACGGGAGGCAGCAGUAGGGUAUCUUCCGCAAUGGGCGAAAGCUUGACGGAGCAGCGCCGCGUGAGUGAUGAAGGUCUUCGGAUCGUAAAACUCUGUUAUUAGGGAAGAACAAAUGUGUAAGUAACUAUGCACGGCGUGACGGUACCUAGUCAGAAAGCCACGGCUAACUACGUG